UUCUGCCUAACACAAUCUCAAUAUACAGAUAUAAAAAAAAUAAUUAACACGCGCAAACCCUCGUCGUGCUG
rnacentral:rRNA from 1 species